AACGAACGCUGGCGGCAGGCCUAACACAUGCAAGUCGAGCGCCCCGCAAGGGGAGUGGCGGACGGGUGAGUAACGCGUGGGAAUAUGCCCUUUGCUACGGAAUAGUCUCGGGAAACUGGGGGUAAUACCGUAUACGCCCUUUGGGGGAAAGAUUUAUCGGCGAAGGAUUAGCCCGCGUUGGAUUAGGUAGUUGGUGGGGUAAUGGCCUACCAAGCCGACGAUCCAUAGCUGGUUUGAGAGGAUGAUCAGCCACACUGGGACUGAGACACGGCCCAGACUCCUACGGGAGGCAGCAGUGGGGAAUCUUAGACAAUGGGGGCAACCCUGAUCUAGCCAUGCCGCGUGAGUGAUGAAGGCCUUAGGGUUGUAAAGCUCUUUCAGCUGGGAAGAUAAUGACGGUACCAACAGGAGAAGCCCCGGCUAACUCCGUG
rnacentral:rRNA from 1 species